GGAAAUGAUGAGAAAAUCUGGAAUCUCGUUCGUCUGAACUGCUGUUGAGAAAAAAAAACAUCUGACAUCA
ensembl:snoRNA SNORD30 Small nucleolar RNA SNORD30